AUUGAACGCUGGCGGCAUGCCUUACACAUGCAAGUCGAACGGCAGCACGGGUGCUUGCACCUGGUGGCGAGUGGCGAACGGGUGAGUAAUACAUCGGAACAUGUCCUGUAGUGGGGGAUAGCCCGGCGAAAGCCGGAUUAAUACCGCAUACGAUCUACGGAUGCAAGCGGGGGACCUUCGGGCCUCGCGCUUUAGGGUUGGCCGAUGGCUGAUUAGCUAGUUGGUGGGGUAAAGGCCUACCAAGGCGACGAUCAGUAGAUGGUCUGAGAGGACGACCAGCCACACUGGGACUGAGACACGGCCCAGACUCCUACGGGAGGCAGCAGUGGGGAAUUUUGGACAAUGGGCGAAAGCCUGAUCCAGCAAUGCCGCGUGUGUGAAGAAGGCCUUCGGGUUGUAAAGCACUUUUGUCCGGAAAGAAAACCUUGGCUCUAAUACAGUCGGGUGAUGACGGUACCGGAAGAAUAAGCACCGGCUAACUACGUG
rnacentral:rRNA from 1 species